rnacentral:rRNA from 1 species
AACGUAGGAGACAAACGUUAUCCGGAGUUACUGGGCGUAAAGGGCGUGUAGGCGGUUUGUUAAGUUUGGCGUGAAAGCUCUCGGCUAAACCGGGAGAGGUCGUUGGAUACUGGCAAACUAGAGGACGGUAGAGGCGUGUGGAAUUCCGGGUGUAGUGGUGAAAUGCGUAGAUAUCCGGAGGAACACCAGUGGCGAAGGCGGCCUUCUGGGAUGAUCCUGACGCUCAGACACGAAAGCUAGGGGAGCGAACGGG